rnacentral:misc_RNA from 1 species
CGAGCGUCAUUUCAACUCUCAAGCCUAAGCUUGGUCUUGGGUGCUACCUAGCUGGUGCAUCUCAAAAGUAGUGGCGGUGCCAAUUCAGCUUCAAGUGUAGUAAAUAUCUCGCUCCUGGAGUUUUGGGUGUUGCAUCUUGCCAGAACCCUAAAUUAUAUAAGGUUGACCUCGGAUCAGGUAGGGAUACCCGCUGAACUUAA